AAGAGUUAGACACAAAUGAGUGAUUAAACAACAACAUCUCAACAAGAGAUAUAAUUUAAUUUUUACCCAGCCCAGAGGAAAAGCAUCCCUGAGGAAAAGAUAUUGAACCAG
rnacentral:lncRNA from 1 species